AGUGAACGCUGGCGGUAGGCCUAACACAUGCAAGUCGAACGGCAGCACAGUAAGAGCUUGCUCUUACGGGUGGCGAGUGGCGGACGGGUGAGGAAUACAUCGGAAUCUACUUUUUCGUGGGGGAUAACGUAGGGAAACUUACGCUAAUACCGCAUACGACCUACGGGUGAAAGCAGGGGCUCUUCGGACCUCGCGCGAUUGAAUGAGCCGAUGUCGGAUUAGCUAGUUGGCGGGGUAAAGGCCCACCAAGGCGACGAUCCGUAGCUGGUCUGAGAGGAUGAUCAGCCACACUGGAACUGAGACACGGUCCAGACUCCUACGGGAGGCAGCAGUGGGGAAUAUUGGACAAUGGGCGCAAGCCUGAUCCAGCCAUACCGCGUGGGUGAAGAAGGCCUUCGGGUUGUAAAGCCCUUUUGUUGGGAAAGAAAAGCAGCAGGUUAAUACCCCGCUGUUCUGACGGUACCCAAAGAAUAAGCACCGGCUAACUUCGUG
rnacentral:rRNA from 1 species